rnacentral:rRNA from 2 species
UACGGAGGGUGCAAGCGUUAUCCGGAUUCACUGGGUUUAAAGGGUGCGUAGGUGGAUUGGUAAGUCCGUGGUGAAAUCCCCGAGCUUAACUCGGGAACUGCCGUGGAUACUAUCAAUCUUGAAUACUGUGGAGGUAAGCGGAAUAUGUCAUGUAGCGGUGAAAUGCUUAGAUAUGACAUAGAACACCGAUAGCGAAGGCAGCUUGCUACACAGUCAUUGACACUGAGGCACGAAAGCGUGGGGAGCAAACAGG